CGGGGCGUAGCGCAGUCCGGGUAGCGCACCUGCUUUGGGAGCAGGGGGUCGUGAGUUCAAAUCUCACCGCCCCGACAA
rnacentral:tRNA from 1 species